GCCCUUCGCGAAUCUUUUUGCGGUCUGGGCUUGCUGUACAUAACUCAAUAGCCGGAAGCCCUUACCCCAAAAAGCAUUUGCGGAGGGCG
rnacentral:pre_miRNA from 1 species